rnacentral:rRNA from 1 species
UACGGGGGGGGCAAGCGUUGUUCGGAAUUACUGGGCGUAAAGGGCUCGUAGGCGGCCAACUAAGUCGGAUGUGAAAUCCCCAGGCUUAACCUGGGAACUGCAUCCGAUACUGGAUGGCUUGAAUCCGGGAGAGGGAUGCAGAAUUCCAGGUGUAGCGGUGAAAUGCGUAGAUAUCUGGAGGAACACCGGUGGCGAAGGCGGCAUCCUGGGCCGGUAUUGACGCUGAGGAGCGAAAGCCAGGGGAGCAAACGGG